rnacentral:lncRNA from 1 species
AGACAUGAUGGUGAGCAUCAGAAGCAAGAUCUGAUCAUAGGUCUCCAUGACCUCAUGGCUGGCUUCAUUAAUAGAAAUGCAAAAGUGAAUUGCUGGACUGUACAUGAAAUGAACAUAUACCAAGAACAGACUAUGGGCCAGCCUCCAUGUCUCCAAGGACAACAAAGAAGUUUCCUCCAGGAGUUUGCACUCAUUUGAAGAAAGAAGAAUCUAGAAUAAUUAAGAAAAUAUUCUAUUAUAUAUUAAGCUAAUACAUUCUCUGUAACAGGCACUGUAUUCUGUGAUAAACUAGACUCCUCACCCACUUGUGGAUCAGUAUGGAUCAUAAUCCAAAGAAUGGUGUGUCCAGAAAUCCAGGGAAGAUCAAGAAGAGGGAUCACAUAUUGUGUCUUAAAAAUCUAUGCAAAUCCAUUACCAUACACAUUAACCUAUUGAGGUUCAUUUUAACAUUAUUGCAUUUUUUUUGUAAAGUUGGUUUUCCCCUUUUCAUCUUUUUUUUUCCUGGAGAUUUCAGCUUUUUCUCCAUGUUUACUAACAAAUACAAAUGAUUCCCCACACACUGAAACUAUGCCACGAGAAUGCACAAGCUCAAUUUAGAAGUAUCUGGCCUAAAGCCAAUUCCAUUAAGACUACUUUGAUUCAAUAUCUUCAGUGUCUUCCAAGCACCAGUCUGAACUGUACAAGAACUGGAAAAAGUGUUAGGAAAGAUAAAUUAUUUACAUCCAGGAAAGUUAGAGCCAUGCCCCAGAAUAGUCACAGGAAAGCCCGCAGAUAAAACCAGGAAGACUAUGAUUCAUAAGGUCUAAGUUUCUUUUAUAGUUGCACAUAAGCAGCACACACACACACACACACACACACACACACACACACACACACACACAAAUGAUUUGGUCUGUUAGAUUCAAACUCAUUUGGUCUACAUCUAGUGAAGCACAAGAUGACAGCUAGCCUCAUGCUCCCUGUGAGAGCACAGACAGGGGCAGGUUUUCUUCAGGACAUUGUUACCGAUGUUGCUGCUCUACAAGGCAGCCUGGACCAGUGGUUCCUUUCUGCCCUAUUCCGCAGCCUGGGAAGUGCCCUUUAGUGGCACUCUUAAGAGUGACCUCUACUGCUCCCAAAAGUCUCUUGAAUAAUGAUCUACAUUUCUUUGAUCAUGACAUCUCUAAACUUAGUACUAUUACCUUUAGUGUUGGAUGACAAUUACCAAAGAAGGAUUUCUCCAUGCCCUUGGGAAAUAAAAUCCAAAGGCUAGUGUGUCUUUCUUCAUUGCCACAGCCAUGACAAAUAUAACACAACAAGUGAAUCAUCACUUUACCCACAUCCAAGUUCUUCAUGUACCCCUUUCGAUCCUGAACUGCUCCAAGAGCCUUGGCCUUUCUGCCUUUCCUACUAUCAGAUUCUAGUAACAUUUAUUGAGAAUCUACUAUAUAUAGUUCAGGUUUCCAAAUAGUAGUUACUCAUAUUCUUUCAAGAGCCCGGAGAAGUACAUUGUUUGUGACAUGGUACAGAUGGAGUCCUGAAAGCAUUUAAAACAAACAAACAAACAAACAAACAAACAAACAAACGAGUUACUAAACCCAGAUACUAGUUGGGCGGAAAGGAUCUAUCAUCUCAAAUCAAUUCUCCAGACACGAGCUUUCGUAUUCUGUCUCUUAACAUGAAGCAGCCAUCUUCUGUAACCAGUCAAUGCCUCAAGGGGAGGAAUUGAGACAUCAACCCAGCCACCAAACCUCUGACACACAGUUUGUCCUGCCUGUAGGGCGUGCUGGAUGUGCUUAAUUCUCAUCUGAAAAACCACGGCUUCAUCCAGCAACUGAUGGGAACAGAUGCAGAGUCCCAGAGCCAAAUAUUAUGUGGAACUCAGGGAGUCCUGCAGAGGAAGGGGAGGGAGGAUUGGGGGAGCCAGAGGGGUCAAAGACACCACAAGAACAGGGACCACAGAAUCAACUGACCAGGACUCAAGUGGACUUACAGAGAUCAGAGAGCCCAUAUGGGUCUGACCUAGGCCCUCUGAGUAAAUGCUGUGGUUGUUUAGGUCAGUGUCCUUGUGGUAUUCCUAACAGUGAGAGUAGGGGGCGGUCCCUGACUUUUUCACCUGCUUUUGGGACCCUUUUUCCUCCUACUGAGUCACCUUACCCAGUGUUGAUGUGAGAAUAUGUGCCUAGUCUUACUGUAGUUUGUUACACAGUAUUUGGUUGAUGCUCUUGGAAGGCCUGGUCUUUUCUGAGGGGAGGUAAAGGGUGGAUCUAGGGGGAAAGAGAUGGGUAGGAAAGAGACUGGGUGAGGUGAGUCAGGAUGACAGAAGAAAAAAAUCAAAAGAAAAAACAAUGUUGAAUAAAUUCAAAUUUGGGUGGUUGGGGCAGGAAAGAAAUUAAGAUACAGAGAGAAGUGAAGAGGAAAGAAGGAGCGAAAAUACACUAUAAUUUUCUCCAUUCCAGGGGCCCACCCCAAAACUACUGAAUAGACUCUGCUGAUUCUUAGGCAGUUCGCACAGCUGUUUCUGUCAAGUGGAAUUUAUGAGCCACUGCAGGACACCACAUGUAGUUUCAUCAGAGACAAAUUCUUUCUCAGCAAACAGAAUGUGUAGUAUGGACAGGAGAGAGAACACUUGCUUGCCACACCCUGGUACCCUUGUUCCCAGGAGUGCCAUUCGUAGAGACAGUUUUCACAAGAAGUGAGCACGCAUGAUCCACCACUGAUGUUAAUCAGUAAAUACUAAUUUGCUCAGGUGUCUAUCAGACCCUUUAGUGGGUGAUAGAGUUGCAAGAGAAAUAGGUAUAGUUCUGUCUCCAUGUUUAUAAAAUAAUAAUCAUAUGUGGAUGGUAAUAGGAUUGCAAUUGUGAGGGCAAGUCAAUAAGCAAAUGUUUACAAGGCACUGUAAAGAGAUGGGGGUGAGCAUCUUUAAAUGAAAUGUCUGCUCAUGUUCUUCAGACAUGGAAAAUUGGAAGAAAUGGAAGGGCAAAAGCAGACAGAGACUCCAAUAUUCUGUGGGUUGACAUCUCAAUGUAUUAUUUCCCCUGUCUCAGGGAAACAUAAAAUGGAGAAAGAAUUCUCCAAAGCUGUG